rnacentral:tRNA from 1 species
GCAUUGGUGGUUUAGUGGUAUAAUUACCGCCUGCCACGCGGUAGAUCCGAGUUCGAUUUUCGGCCAAUGCA